GACGAACGCUGGCGGCGUGCUUAAUACAUGCAAGUCGAGCGAGGCCUUGGAAUUGGAGUCCUUCGGGAUGAAGAGUCCUUGGCCUAGCGGCGGACGGGUGAGUAACGCGUGGGCAACCUACCCCAAAGUCCGGGAUAACAGUGGGAAACCGCUGCUAAUACCGGAUGGCUUUACCUGAGGGCAUCCUUGGGUAAAGAAAGGUUACGCUUUGGGAUGGGCCCGCGUCCCAUUAGCUAGUUGGUGAGGUAACGGCUCACCAAGGCGACGAUGGGUAGCCGGCCUGAGAGGGUGAACGGCCACACUGGGACUGAGACACGGCCCAGACUCCUACGGGAGGCAGCAGUAGGGAAUAUUGCGCAAUGGGCGGAAGCCUGACGCAGCGACGCCGCGUGAGCGAAGAAGGCCUUCGGGUCGUAAAGCUCUGUCCUUGGGGAAGAAGGCGAAAGCUUGACGGUACCCAAGAAGAAAGCCCCGGCUAACUACGUG
rnacentral:rRNA from 1 species